rnacentral:tRNA from 1 species
GGCGAGGUAGCUCAGCUGGCUAGAGCACGUGGUUCAUACCCACGGUGUCGAGAGUUCGAGUCUCCCUCUCGCUA